GGAAGUAAAAGUCGUAACAAGGUCUCCGUAGGUGAACCUGCGGAGGGAUCAUUACUGAGUGAGGGCCUUCGGGCUCGACCUCCAACCCUUUGUGAACACAACUUGUUGCUUCGGGGGCGACCCUGCCGUUUCGACGGCGAGCGCCCCCGGAGGCCUUCAAACACUGCAUCUUUGCGUCGGAGUUUAAGUAAAUUAAACAAAACUUUCAACAACGGAUCUCUUGGUUCUGGCAUCGAUGAAGAACGCAGCGAAAUGCGAUAAGUAAUGUGAAUUGCAGAAUUCAGUGAAUCAUCGAAUCUUUGAACGCACAUUGCGCCCCUUGGUAUUCCGAGGGGCAUGCCUGUUCGAGCGUCAUUUCACCACUCAAGCCUCGCUUGGUAUUGGGCGCCGCGGUGUUCCGCGCGCCUCAAAGUCUCCGGCUGAGCUGUCCGUCUCUAAGCGUUGUGAUUUCAUUAAUCGCUUCGGAGCGCGGGCGGUCGCGGCCGUUAAAUCUUUUAUAAGGUUGACCUCGGAUCAGGUAGGGAUACCCGCUGAACUUAAGCAUAUCAAUAAGCGGAGGAA
rnacentral:rRNA from 1 species